AAUAAGUGAAGUUUUACACUGUCAUGUCCAACAUUUAAGCGUUCGUCUUAUUUGAAAUUUUUUUAUUAUUAGUAUUUUUAUUGUUAUUAGACGAUAAAACAUGAAUAGGACUUUAUGUGCGACUAUUUUUUUCAUAAAUUUUUCAAAUAAGAUUGACGGUCAAACAUUGGGUACGGAUAUCCAUGGCUGAACUUAUU
rfam:Oryza sativa (indica cultivar-group) chromosome 12, whole genome shotgun sequence.